UGGGAAUAUUGCACAAUGGGCGAAAGCCUGAUGCAGCAACGCCGCGUGCGGGAUGACGGCCUUCGGGUUGUAAACCGCUUUCAGCAGGGACGAAGGUUUUCUGACGGUACCUGCAGAAGAAGCACCGGCUAACUACGUGCCAGCAGCCGCGGUGAUACGUAGGGUGCGAGCGUUGUCCGGAAUUAUUGGGCGUAAAGAGCUUGUAGGCGGUCCGUUGCGUCGGAAGUGAAAACUCAGGGCUUAACCCUGAGCCUGCUUUCGAUACGGGCGGACUUGAGGGAUGUAGGGGAGAACGGAAUUCCUGGUGGAGCGGUGGAAUGCGCAGAUAUCAGGAGGAACACCAGUGGCGAAGGCGGUUCUCUGGACAUUUCCUGACGCUGAGAAGCGAAAGCGUGGGGAGCAAACAGGCUUAGAUACCCUGGUAGUCCACGCCGUAAACGGUGGGCACUAGGUGUGGGACCCAUUCCACGGGUUCCGUGCCGUAGCUAACGCAUUAAGUGCCCCGCCUGGGGAGUACGGCCGCAAGGCUAAAACUCAAAGGAAUUG
rnacentral:rRNA from 1 species